CAGCAGCCGCGGGAAAACGGAGGGAGCUAGCGUUGUUCGGAAUUACUGGGCGUAAAGCGCACGUAGGCGGCUACUCAAGUCGGGGGUGAAAGCCCGGGGCUCAACCCCGGAACUGCCCUCGAAACUAGGUAGCUAGAAUCUUGGAGAGGUCAGUGGAAUUCCGAGUGUAGAGGUGAAAUUCGUAGAUAUUCGGAAGAACACCAGUGGCGAAGGCGACUGACUGGACAAGUAUUGACGCUGAGGUGCGAAAGCGUGGGGAGCAAACAGGAUUAGAUACCCGCGUAGUCCCUGUCUCUUAUAU
rnacentral:rRNA from 1 species